UACACUCCUGCGGGAGGCAGCAGUGGGGAAUAUUGGACAAUGGGCGCAAGCCUGAUCCAGCCAUGCCGCGUGAGUGAUGAAGGCCCUAGGGUUGUAAAGCUCUUUCACCGGAGAAGAUAAUGACGGUAUCCGGAGAAGAAGCCCCGGCUAACUUCGUGCCAGCAGCCGCGGUAAUACGAAGGGGGCUAGCGUUGUUCGGAAUUACUGGGCGUAAAGCGCACGUAGGCGGAUCGAUCAGUCAGGGGUGAAAUCCCAGGGCUCAACCCUGGAACUGCCUUUGAUACUGUCGAUCUGGAGUAUGGAAGAGGUGAGUGGAAUUCCGAGUGUAGAGGUGAAAUUCGUAGAUAUUCGGAGGAACACCAGUGGCGAAGGCGGCUCACUGGUCCAUUACUGACGCUGAGGUGCGAAAGCGUGGGGAGCAAACAGGAUUAGAAACCCUUGUAGUCCCAUGAU
rnacentral:rRNA from 1 species